AGGACCGAACCAGAGAACGUUGAAAAGUUGCUGGAUGACGUGUGGCUAGGGGUGAAAGGCCAAUCAAACUCGGAGAUAGCUGGUUCUCCGCGAAAUCUAUUUAGGUAGAGCGUCAUCCGAAUACCCCGGGGGGUAGAGCACUGGAUGGGUAAUGGGGCCCCACAGGCUUACUGAUCCUAACCAAACUCCGAAUACCCGGGAGUACUAGAUGGCAGACACACGGCGGAUGCUAACGUCCGUCGUGGAGAGGGAAACAACCCUGACCUACAGCUAAGGCCCCCAAUUCAUGGCUAAGUGGGAAAGCAGGUGGGACGACCAAAACAACCAGGAGGUUGGCUUAGAAGCAGCCAUCCUUUAAAGAAAGCGUAAUAGCUCACUAGUCGAGUCGGCCUGCGCGGAAGAUAUAACGGGGCUAAGCGAUGUGCCGAAGCUGCGGAUGCGAUUUAUCGCAUGGUAGAGGAGCGUUCUGUAAGCUGAUGAAGCUCAAUUGAGAAGUUGGGUGGAGGUAUCAGAAGUGCGAAUGCUGACAUGAGUAACGAUAAUGGGGGUGAAAAACCCCCACGCCGGAAGACCAAGGUUUCCUGUCCCAUGCUAAUCAGGGCAGGGUAAGUCGGCCCCUAAGGCGAGGCAGAAAUGCGUAGUCGAUGGGAAACAGGUUAAUAUUCCUGUACUUGUUUAUAUUGCGAUGGGGAGACGGAGAAAGCUAGGC
rnacentral:rRNA from 1 species